GUUAUGCUACGACGAUGUUCAUUUGCGAUUUUUUCUAUUCUGGUCGGCCCAAUAUGUACCUUCCCGACUUUUCACCUACAGCAGCGGCCCACACGUCGUGCGAAUUAUGUCUUUUUUGUAAACUGUUUUACUGCGGAUCGGCGGCGUGUUUUUUUUCCCCCCCCGCGUUACGUAUUUACGCUGGCGGACGUGUUAGGACGGGGCGCUGUUUCUUUAGCUUUUAUAAUGACUCUUGGUUUUUUACGACAAUUUCGAACUGCGCACUUGACAUUUUGUACCGCACACUUUGUCUGUUCUGAAAUAGGCGCCGCGAGUGUAAACUGCGGGUUGGAGUUUAUAUAUAUAUAUAUAUAUAUAAAAAAAAACUACUGCUACCUAUUUCACGGUGUCUUUAACAAAUUAAGACGUCCUCUUGAAAUAUGGCGCCCGGGGCCGAUGCUCACUCCGGCCCUCCUCUGGCGGAUUAUCGUCGUUCGCGAAAACCGACAAAAUCGACAAAAAACGUCAAUCGAACAUUGGCGGACGUUUCGCUAUUUCAAUGGGUUCAAAGCUCAGUCGCCGCUCUAUAACAACACGACACGAUUGUCGGCCACGAUUCCGUUUUACGGAAUGAAAACAGUGUCUUAAGUGCGUAAACCGUAUUGCGCUUUGCGAAAUCGUGACGCUUAGACGGCUUUAGAUAGAGUAGAGCAGAGGCGAAAAACGUCUCGUUUUGUUUUUUCUUUGUAAAGUACGUUUAAAUAUAGGGUAAAAACAAACGAAUACUCGUACUAGACUGUAAUAACGUAAUUAUUUGGUAAAGUAUAAUAGCAGUAGAUUUUGACGAGACGAGUUCUCCACGGCGACGACGACGACGAGUUUAUAACCUCGGACAACAACCGCCGUACAUAUAGGCGCAAUAGUUUUAUGGUUGCCGACUAUAGCUGCUGCUGCUGCUGCUGCUGCUGCUGCUGCACACAUCGCCGACCGCAUAACACAUGAUAAUACGUAUAAUAACCGGGAUAACUGAACCGUGGUACUAGGCUUUUUUCAUCCAGCUCGUGUAUAAUAUGCCUAAUAAUAAUAUAGUAAUACUAUUAUCAUUAUUAUUGUUAUUAUUAUACGCGGGCACGGGGAACUAAUCGUUCGUGUUACGACGUUGUAUAUACGGACGACGGAUAGAAGGGAAAAAAACGCAUUAAACGCGAGAAAAAUUAAAAGAAACGAAAAAGAAAAUAAAAUAAAAUAAUACACGAGAAGGUAAGAAUAUUUAAAAAAAAAAAAUUAUUAUUAUUAUUAUAUAACGCGCCCGCGUUUUCUGGUGUUCGGUGAAAGCGCUGUGGUCAUUUUUUUUCCCCCCCGAAAUACGUAAUGGUAAUAAUAAUAUAAUAAUAAUAAUAAUAAUCGUAUUCAAGGAUUUCGUCGAACGGGACGGGGGGAAAACGAAGAAAAAAAAAAAAAACACGAAAAAAAAUUACGACCAGAUACGUGUGCUACACCAAUAUGAUAUAAUACGAGUAGCCGGUCUUCUUCUGUUGGCCACGGCGGCAUCGGUAUAACCGCGUAACAACAAUACAGUCGAAUAAUCGUUUCAUAGUGCGUACACCUAAAAUAACGACAAACGGUAAUAAACAUGAACGACGCGGAUUUCGGGUGUAUUUUCACGCGGACGUGAGUUUUUCCCGGAUGAACGUCGAAAAUCCGAGGACACGCAAUCGCCGACGAUUUCGUUCUCGGCGCGAUGCACGCGGAAAACCGUAAGCCGCGUGCGCGCGCGAACCUGUGUGUGUGUGUGUGUGUGUAUAAUAAUAUAAAUAUAUAGGUAAUAACAAUUUCGAAAACAUUCCCGCGAACGAAGUCGAUAAUAAUAAAAAAAAAAAAAUAGAAUAAAAAAACAUCAAUACUAUUCAGGCCGAAGCGCGCGCGCGAACAACAAAAGAUAUAUCCGGAGAGAAAUCGCGCGUUUUAAUAUUCGUGCGUAAUGAGUAAUGACUAUAAUAAAAAGUAAAAAAAUAUAUAAUGUAUACACAAAAAAAAAAAAAAAAAACAAACCCGAUAGUGCAGUAUAGUUAAUUAUAAUCGGGCGAAACAAUAGCCGACGAUUAUUCUGUGCCGCAAGACCGGGCCGAUUUUUUUUUUUUUUUUGUUUUUUAACCGUCUACAUUUCCAGAAUUUUCCCGUUUAAAAUCCACUCGACUUGAGUUACGGUGAAUGUGUAAACAUAUUCUAACGUCGUAUCAACAAACGCGUUUUCCGCCCCGUCGCCGUUUUCGCAUCAGCUCGUUCGGACACGUAUUUUACGAGCGCCGGGUCCAGCCCUUCGCAACAUAAUCUCUUCCUCCCGUUUUUAUGCCCUCCAUAAUAUUCAUCGCCACCGUUUAUGUCCAGCCAUGAAAUUGUUAUUAUAAAAAAAAAACAACCACUCGCGUUUCGGGUCGCGGCCCGGAGGUUUUUGUUUUUAACUUUCAAUUAUUUUUUAAAAUUUUCAUUGUCGUUUUAACGAUUAAUCCGGACCGCCGCCGCCGUCAGUGUCCGAGAAUAUCAUUUCAAUAAUAACAGACAAGAACCGUCGCGCAAUCGGCGCGCCCGCAGAUCGAUA